CCCUGGGAAGCGCUGGGGCUGUGAGGAAUCGGCACGGCCCGAGGUGUUGGUGCGCUUUCCAGGAGCUCAGUGAUGCUGCCAAAAGCAGAAAGAAUGCAGUCAGCCUCUUGAAAGCAAAGUAACUCCCAGGGCACUGCUUGUCAAGACUCUUCAGAGCAUUCUCUUCUGUGGAUUCUCAGGCAUGUAGGAUGGCUGUCUGUUAUUGACAUUGCUGCCAUGGCUGUGGAGCAGAGGAGCUACUGUGGGUGUGCAUCACACUCACACCUGGACCUUUGCAACUCCAUUUCCCAUGCAGAAAAUUUGUUUUGA
rnacentral:lncRNA from 1 species